GACGGACGCUGGCGGCGCGCUUAACACAUGCAAGUCGAACGAUGAAGCGGUGCUUGCACCGUGGCUUAGUGGCGAACGGGUGAGUAAUACGUGAGUGACCUACCUUUGACUCUGGGAUAAGCCUGGGAAACUGGGUCUAAUACCGGAUACGACCAAUCUCUGCAUGGGGUGUUGGUGGAAAGCGUUAUGGAGUGGUUUUAGAUGGGCUCACGGCCUAUCAGCUUGUUGGUGAGGUAAUGGCUUACCAAGGCGACGACGGGUAGCCGGCCUGAGAGGGUGACCGGCCACACUGGGACUGAGACACGGCCCAGACUCCUACGGGAGGCAGCAGUGGGGAAUAUUGCACAAUGGGCGCAAGCCUGAUGCAGCGACGCCGCGUGAGGGAUGACGGCCUUCGGGUUGUAAACCUCUGUUAGCAUCGAAGAAGCGAAAGUGACGGUAGGUGCAGAGAAAGCGCCGGCUAACUACGUG
rnacentral:rRNA from 1 species